UAAAUCGCUAAGCAUGUAGCUAGUAAGCAAAAUGAAACAACCAGAGAGUCGGUGGUAGGUGCGAACCGAUUGUAUCAUUUGCUGAAUCCAUACGUGAAGCAAACAAUGAAAACGAGCUAAUCGACUAAAUUGUUUCGGGUCCCCGUUAUCGUCACAAAGUGCGGAUGCUUUUGCGUCCGAAGCUGGGUGGUACCGCGAACGAGAAGUCACUUCGUCCCAAUA
rnacentral:ncRNA from 1 species